UACGGGGGGAGCAAGCGUUGUUCGGAUUUACUGGGCGUAAAGGACGCGUAGGCGGCGCAACAAGUCACUUGUGAAAUCUCCGGGCUUAACCCGGAGCGGCCAAGUGAUACUGUCGUGCUAGAGUGCGGAAGGGGCUACUGGAAUUCUCGGUGUAGCGGUGAAAUGCGUAGAUAUCGAGAGGAACACCUGCGGCGAAGGCGGGUAGCUGGGCCGACACUGACGCUGAGGCGCGAAAGCCAGGGGAGCGAACGGG
rnacentral:rRNA from 1 species